UGGAGAAUUAUGAUUUAGGCUGCUAACUUGAGUCUGGGAAAUUUUUUCCAUCUCCAU
rnacentral:tRNA from 1 species